rnacentral:rRNA from 1 species
CUUAGCGGCGGACGGGUGAGUAACGCGUGAGGAACCUGCCUCUCACAGAGGGAUAGCCUCGGGAAACUGAGGGUAAUACCUCAUGAGACUUAUAUACCGCAUGGUAUAUAAGUUAAAGCGAUUUAGCGGUGAGAGAUGGCCUCGCGUCCCAUUAGCUAGUUGGUGAGGUAACGGCUCACCAAGGCGACGAUGGGUAGCCGGCCUGAGAGGGUGGACGGCCACACUGGAACUGAGACACGGUCCAGACUCCUACGGGAGGCAGCAGUGGGGGAUAUUGCACAAUGGGGGAAACCCUGAUGCAGCGACGCCGCGUGAGCGAAGAAGGCCUUCGGGUCGUAAAGCUCUGUCCUAAGGGAAGAUAAUGACGGUACCUUAGGAGGAAGCCCCGGCUAACUACGUGCCAGCAGCCGCGGUAAAACGUAGGGGGCGAGCGUUGUCCGGAAUUACUGGGCGUAAAGGGUGCGUAGGCGGCUAUUUAAGUCAGAUGUGAAAGGCUACGGCUCAACCGUAGUGAGCAUUUGAAACUGAAUAGCUUGAGUCAAGGAGAGGGAAGUGGAAUUCCUGGUGUAGCGGUGAAAUGCGUAGAUAUCAGGAGGAAUACCAGUGGCGAAGGCGACUUCCUGGCCUUAGACUGACGCUGAGGCACGAAAGCGUGGGGAGCAAACUGGAUUAGAUACCCUGGUAGUCCACGCCGUAAACGUUCCUCUAGGUGUUGGGGAGGUUACUCUUCAGUGCCGCAGCUMACGCAAURAGCACUCCGCC